GCGCACGCUGGCGGCAGGCUUAACCCAUGCAAGUCGCGCGGGCACUUUCGGGUGUCAGCGGCGGACGGGUGAGUAACGCGUGGGAACGUGCCCUCUGGUUCGGAAUAACUCAGGGAAACUUGAGCUAAUACCGGAUACGCCCUUUUGGGGAAAGGCUUGCUGCCGGAGGAUCGGCCCGCGUCUGAUUAGCUAGUUGGUGAGGUAACGGCUCACCAAGGCGACGAUCAGUAGCUGGUCUGAGAGGAUGAUCAGCCACACUGGGACUGAGACACGGCCCAGACUCCUACGGGAGGCAGCAGUGGGGAAUAUUGGACAAUGGGCGCAAGCCUGAUCCAGCCAUGCCGCGUGAGUGAUGAAGGCCUUAGGGUUGUAAAGCUCUUUUAUCCGGGACGAUAAUGACGGUACCGGAGGAAUAAGCCCCGGCUAACUUCGUG
rnacentral:rRNA from 1 species